GCCCGGGUAGCUCAGUGGAUAGAGCAGAAGUUUCCUAAACUUUUGGUCGGAGGUUCGAUUCCUCUCCCGGGUACCA
rnacentral:tRNA from 1 species